rnacentral:rRNA from 1 species
AGCUAUAUGAGAUUAUAUUUAGUAAGUUCUGCCCAGUGAGUUUUUAACGGCCGCAGUACUUUGACUGUGCUAAGGUAGCAUAAUCAAUUGGCUUUUAAUUGAAGUCUGGAAUGAAAGGAGUAUUGGGGAUAAGCUGUUUCUUAGGAAUAUAUUUGAAAUUACUUAUAAGGUGAAAAUACCUUAAAUUUCAUAAAAGACGAGAAGACCCUUAGAGUUUUUUUGUUGGGGUGACAGAUAAGCAAACCUUAUAUAAGAUAAGUAAAAACUACCUAAGGGAUAACAGCAUAAUUUUUUUGUGAGAUUAUGACCUCGAUGUUGGACUAGGAAUAUUAUAACUAGAAGUUAAAAAUAUAGGUUCUGUUCGAACUUUUUCUCCU